CCGCUUGACGAAGAUGAGGUAGUCUCGCAUAUCUUGGAAGGUUUGGAUGCAGAUUACAAUCCCUUCGUCUCUGCCAUAUCCAUGCGCGUGGAUCAAGG
rfam:Hordeum vulgare subsp. vulgare, WGS project CAJW01000000 data, contig: morex_contig_40112